CCACUGUAAAUGUGAUAUCUCCA
rnacentral:snRNA from 1 species